rnacentral:rRNA from 1 species
GACGAACGCUGGCGGCGUGCUUAACACAUGCAAGUCGAACGGUGAAGGUACUGGUUUUGCUGGUCCUGGAUGAGUGGCGAACGGGUGAGUAACACGUGAGGAACCUGCCCCCUUCUUCUGGAUAACCGCAUGAAAGUGUGGCUAAUACCGGAUAUUCUGGGUCUGUCGCUUGGUGGGCCUGGGAAAGAUUGCGCCUUUUUUGGUGUUUUUGGUGGGGGAUGGGCUCGGGGCUUAUCAGCUUGUGGGGGGGGGGAUGGCCUACGCAGGCGUUGAUGGGUAGCCGGCCUGGGAGGGUGGACGGCAACAGUGGGGCUGCGACACGGCGCAGACUGCGACGGGAGGCAGCAGUGGGGAAUAGUGCACAAUGGGCGCAAGCCUGAUGCAGCGACGCCGCGUGAGGGAUGGAGGCCUUCGGGUUGUGAACCUCUUUCGCAAGUGAAGCAGGCCUGCCUCUUUAUGUGGGUGGGUUGACGGUAGCUUGAUAAGAAGCGCCGGCUAACUACGUG